UUCGUAGGCGGUUAUUUUAAGUCAGGUGUGAAAGGCAUAGGCUCAACCUGUGUAAGCACUUGAAACUGAAUGACUUGAGUUAAGGAGAGGAAAGUGGAAUUCCUAGUGUAGCGGUGAAAUGCGUAGAUAUUAGGAGGAAUACCAGUGGCGAAGGCGACUUUCUGGACUUAUACUGACGCUGAGGACGAAAGCGUGGGAGCAAACA
rnacentral:rRNA from 1 species